rnacentral:rRNA from 1 species
UACAGAGGUCUCAAGCGUUGUUCGGAUUCAUUGGGCGUAAAGGGUGUGUAGGUGGCGCGCUAAGUCGGGUGUGAAAUUUCGGAGCUUAACUCCGAAACUGCAUUCGAUACUGGCGGGCUUGAAUCCGGGAGAGGGAUGCGGAAUUCCAGGUGUAGCGGUGAAAUGCGUAGAUAUCUGGAGGAACACCGGUGGCGAAGGCGGCAUCCUGGACCGGCAUUGACGCUGAGG